UACGAAGGGGGCUAGCGUUGCUCGGAUUGACUGGGCGUAAAGGGCGCGUAGGCGGUUCGUACAGUCAGACGUGAAAUUCCUGGGCUCAACCUGGGGGCUGCGUUUGAUACGUGCGGGCUUGAGUGCGGAAGAGGGUCGUGGAAUUCCCAGUGUAGAGGUGAAAUUCGUAGAUAUUGGGAAGAACACCAGUGGCGAAAGCGGCUCUCUGGGGGUUUUCUGACGCUGAGGCGCGAAAGCGUGGGGAGCGAACCGG
rnacentral:rRNA from 1 species